AUUACUUGAGAGGCUUGCUAAAUGCAGAUUCUAAGUUAGUAGGUCUGGCUGGAAUCUGAGAUUCUGCAUUUCUAAUAAGCUCUUAGGUGAUGCUGCU
rnacentral:miRNA from 1 species